rnacentral:rRNA from 1 species
UAUGUAGGGUGCAAGCGUUAUCUGGAAUUAUUGGGCGUAAAGAGCUCGUAGGCGGUUUGUCGCGUCUGCUGUGAAAACCGGAGGCUCAACCUCCGGCCUGCAGUGGGUACGGGCAAACUAGAGUGCGGUAGGGGAGAUUGGAAUUCCUGGUGUAGCGGUGGAAUGCGCAGAUAUCAGGAGGAACACCGAUGGCGAAGGCAGAUCUCUGGGCCGUAACUGACGCUGAGGAGCGAAAGCGUGGGGAUCGAACAGG